AGCAGCCGCGGUAAUUCCAGCUCCAAUAGCGUAUAUUAAAGUUGUUGCAGUUAAAAAGCUCGUAGUUGAAUUUCGGGGUUAGUAGGUUGGUCAUGCCUCUGGUAUGUACUGGUCUCACUGAUUCCUCCUUCCUGAUGAGCCGUAAUGCCAUUAAUUUGGUGUUGCGAGGAAUCUGGACUGUUACUUUGAAAAAUUAGAGUGUUUAAAGCAGGCUAACGCUUGAAUACAUUAGCAUGGAAUAAUGAAAUAGGACGUUCGAUCCUAUUUUGUUGGUUUCUAGGAUUGACGUAAUGAUUAAUAGGGAUAGUUGGGGGCAUUAGUAUUCAAUUGUCAGAGGUGAAAUUCUUGGAUUUAUUGAAGACUAACUACUGCGAAAGCAUUUGCCAAGGAUGUUUUCAUUAAUCAAGAACGAAAGUUAGGGGAUCGAAGACGAUCAGAUACUGUCGUAGU
rnacentral:rRNA from 1 species